rnacentral:lncRNA from 1 species
CAAGCAUAAGCAUUCUAAGACACACGAUGCAGGAUUUGGAGUGUCCCAAAGCUGAAGAUGCACUUUAAAUGCUUUCCCUGAAGAUCCAUUCGGUCCUUGUGCAUUAUAAACCUGAAAGAUACAACGUUCAUUAGUUGAGGUUGCUUUGGAUUUUGUCAGCACUCAAAUUCUUUGGGUUCACUCAGCAUGUUUUUUUCUCAAUUACUAUAAUCAAAGUUCAUAGUGCAGAAUAAAUAUUUGCUUUAUUUUUUUCCAG